CUGUCGGGAUGGUAAAGGAGGGCAUC
rnacentral:piRNA from 1 species